AGGGAUGUAGCUCAACAGUGCAGCGCCUGCCUGGCAAGCAGGAAGUCCUGAGUUCCAUCUCCAGUAUCUCCC
rnacentral:tRNA from 1 species